UUAGGUGGUUAAAGCAUUGGGGUUCCACCUCUUCCCAUUCCGAACAGAGAAGUUAAGCCCAAUCACGUCGAUGGUACUGCAAGACAACGUGGGAGAGUAGAUAGCCGCCGUCU
rnacentral:rRNA from 1 species